rnacentral:misc_RNA from 1 species
AAGUCGUAACAAGGUAUCCGUAGGUGAACCUGCGGAUGGAUCAUUACAAAAGUAUUCUAUACUUCUAACACUUGUGCACUGUUGCGUCUCUGCGAAAGGCAUUCGUGCCCUAGCAGUUUCGCGUUUCUUUCACAACUAAAACUGAAUUACAUCAUAUACUAUAAAAGAUAAAACUUUUAGCAACGGAUCUCUAGGUUCUC